rnacentral:rRNA from 1 species
UACGAAGGAGGCUAGCGAUAUUCGGAAUUACUGGGCGUAAAGCGCACGAAGGCGGAUUUGUAAGUCAGGGGUGAAAGCCCGGGGCUCAACCUCGGAACUGCCUUUGAUACUGCGAGUCUCGAGCACGGAAGAGGUGAGUGGAAUUCCUAGUGUAGAGGUGAAAUUCGUAGAUAUUAGGAAGAACACCAGUGGCGAAGGUGGCUCACGGGUCCGUUGAUGACGCUGAGGUGCGAGAGCGUGGGGAGCAAACAGG